AUAAAUUAAUAAGUGCAAAUGGCGGAUGCCUAGGCACCAGAAGCCGAUGAAGGUCGUAGGAGGCUGCGAAAAGCCUCGGGGAGCCGCCAACCAGGCUUCGAUCCGAGGAUUACCGAAUGGGGAAACCCGGCUGGAGUAAUGUCCAGUCAUUUCUCUCUGAAUAAAUAGGAGAGUCAAAGGUAACGAGGGGAAGUGAAACAUCUCAGUACCCUCAGGAAGAGAAAACAACCGUGAUUCCGUUAGUAGUGGCGAGCGAACGCGGAAGAGGCUAAACCAAUCAUGUGCCAAGCCGGCAGGCCUUGCAUGAUCGGUGUCGUGGGACUAAAUGAAAUUAACUGCCGUUAAUUUAACAAGUCAGAAAAUAAUGAAAUAGAUGAAGGACGUGGGAAAGUCCGGCAUAGAAGGUGAGACCCCUGUAGUCGAAAUUUCAUUAUCUUGUUUUUAGUAUCCCAAGUAAUACCGGACUCGUGUAAUCCGGUAUGAAUCUGGCGGGACCACCCGCUAAGCCUAAAUACUCUCUGGUGACCGAUAGUGAACAAGUACCGUGAGGGAAAGGUGAAAAGAACCCCGCAAGGGGAGUGAAAUAGAAUCUGAAACCGUUUGCAUACAAACCGUUGGAGCUGCCUUGUGCAGUGACAGCGUGCCUUUUGAAGAAUGAGUCUACGAGUUAGUGUGAUGUGGCAAGGUUAACCCGUCGAGGGGAAGCCGUAGCGAAAGCGAGUCUGAAUAGGGCGAAUAAGUCGCAUCAUCUAAACCCGAAGCGAGGUGAUCUCGCCAUGACCAGGUUGAAGCGCGGGUAAGACCGCGUGGAGGACCGAACCCACUAAAGUUGAAAAUUUAGGGGAUGAGUUGUGGCUAGGGGUGAAAGACCAAUCAAACUUCGUGAUAGCUGGUUCUCUCCGAAAUGCAUUUAGGUGCAGCGUCACGUGUUUCUUACUGGAGGUAGAGCUACUGGAUGGCCGAGGGGUCCUACAAGAUUACCAACGUCAGCCAAACUCCGAAUGCCAGUAAGUGAGAACGUGGCAGUGAGACAGUGGGGGAUAAGCUUCAUUGUCGAGAGGGAAACAACCCAGAACAGCAACUAAGGUCCCAAAGCCUGUGCUAAGUGGAAAAGGAUGUGAAGUCGCAUAGACAACCAGGAGGUUGGCUUAGAAGCAGCCACCCUUAAAAGAGUGCGUAAUAGCUCACUGGUCAAGUGAUUUCGCGCCGACAAUGUAACGGGGCUCAAGCACAGCACCGAAGUUCUGUCAUUCACACACUAUCCCGGUCGCAAGAUCCAGGAGUGUGGAUGGGUAGGAGAGCGUUGUGUAACUAGUGAAGCGGCGGAGGAAUCCAGCCGUGGAAGUUACACAAGUGAGAAUGUAGACAUGAGUAGCGAAAGACGGGUGAGAAACCCGUCCACCGAAUGACCAAGGGUUCCUGAGCUAGGCUAAUCCGCUCAGGGUAAGUCGGGUCCUAAGGCGAGGCCGACAGGCGUAGUCGAUGGACAACUGGUUGAUAUUCCAGUACCCGCAAUAAACCGUCCAUGACGAAUCAAUAAUGCUAAGUGUUUGAAGUUGGCUAGCAAUAGCUGAUGGAGCGCACGACCCAAGUUGUUAGUAGUCAAGCAAUGGAGAGACGCAGGAAGGUAGUCCAACCCAGGCGAUGGUUGACCUGGGGUAAGAGUGUAGGAGGUUCUGUAGGAAAAUCCGCAGAACAAUCUCUGAGACUUAAUGCCGAGCCGUAAGGCGAAGUGGAUGAUCCUAUGCUGCCAAGAAAAUCUUCUAGCGAGGUUUAUAGUGGCCCGUACCCGAAACCGACGCAGGUGGUCAGGUAGAGAAUACCAAGGUGAUCGAGAGAAUCGUGGUGAAGGAACUCGGCAAAAUACCCCCGUAACUUCGGGAGAAGGGGGGCUAAUUUUUGUGUAGAGGUUUACCUUCGAAGCAUAAGUUAGACGCAGAGAAUAGGCUCAAGCGACUGUUUACCAAAAACACAGGUCCGUGCGAAGUUGCAAAACGAUGUAUACGGACUGACGCCUGCCCGGUGCUGGAAGGUUAAGGGGACUGGUUAGCUCUUCGGAGCGAAGCCGAGAACUUAAGCCCCAGUAAACGGCGGUGGUAACUAUAACCAUCCUAAGGUAGCGAAAUUCCUUGUCGGGUAAGUUC
rnacentral:rRNA from 1 species